rnacentral:rRNA from 1 species
GCUUGAAGCAUCUAUCUUACUAGCUUUUAGAAUGGAGAAACUCGUGUCAUUUCAUAUAUGAUCUGAAUGAAAUGAUUAGGACUUGUUGCAGUGGAUUUAUUUGAUAUUGUAUAUUGUACUAAAGAAACAACAUAUGUGCUCCUGAAAAGUACUACGUUCUUGUCUGCUACAUGUUCCCAUUUAAGCUACGUGCCUGAUUGAAAUUUCAAC